UGGCCACUAUGAUGUUGGCUCGACUCACUCAGACGACACCGGCCGGAGCGAUGCGUGCGUGCUAGCUCGACGGCGUGUUUCUGAUUGAGCCGUGCCAAUAUCUUAGUGCUCUUU
rnacentral:pre_miRNA from 1 species